CUUCUCUCACAAACAAACGACCUGUGCCAGCUGUCCCAUUCCAUGUCUUUGGGCGUGUGUUACGGUUGAUGGCUGGCAGUUCGUCCGUCUCACGGAGCCUUUUCUUCUUCCUCAUGGAUGGGCUUCGGACGACAGGUCGCAGAGCAAGUUGGCGCCAGGUUGGAAGCCUGAGAUCACCGCAAGGUUGGAGCUCGGUGGAAGACGUGGUGCCUGGCCAACUAAUUCCUGUUCCCUUAUGCUAGGCCGUCGGCUCUUGAUGCUUGGGACAAACCUAGUCGGCUACAAUU
rnacentral:sRNA from 1 species